GCCCUUUCAGGAUUGCACCUGGAGAGUUUUCAGUACUCUACCAGUCUCGGCUAUGGGAGGGAGAGUCAAGCAGAGGCCUACCCAUUCCAUUCCUAAUUUGGGCAGCAGCUAGACAGUGGAAGGCAAUCAGCUACAAGU